rnacentral:rRNA from 1 species
GAACGCUGGCGGCGUGCCUAAUACCUGCAAGUCGAGCGAACGGACGAGAAGCUUGCUUCUCUGAUGUUAGCGGCGGACGGGUGAGUAACACGUGGAUAACCUACCUAUAAGACUGGGAUAACUUCGGGAAACCGGAGCUAAUACCGGAUAAUAUUUUGAACCGCAUGGUUCAAAAGUAAAAGACGGUCUUGCUGUCACUUAUAGAUGGUUCCGCGCUGCAUUAGCUAGUUGGUAAGGUAACGGCUUACCAAGGCAACGAUGCAUAGCCGACCUGAGAGGGUGAUCGGCCACACUGGAACUGAGACACGGUCCAGACUACUACGGGAGGCAGCAGUAGGGAAUCUUCCGCAAUGGGCGAAAGCCUGACGGAGCAACGCCGCGUGAGUGAUGAAGGUCUUCGGAUCGUAAAACUCUGUUAUUAGGGAAGAACAUAUGUGUAAGUAACUGUGCACAUCUUGACGGUACCUAAUCAGAAAGCCACGGCUAACUACGUG